rnacentral:tRNA from 1 species
GUGGGUGUAGCUCAGUGGCAGAGCACUUGAUUGUGGUUCAAGACGCCGGGGGUUCAAAUCCCCUCACCCACC